ensembl:lncRNA
AGGCAGGUCCUAGCUUUUAUGAAAAAAGGUGCUGUAUUAAUUGAUCCUACUAUAGGCCCUCCAACACUAAGGGUCUAGUUCUUUACUGGACAGUGCAAAAUACCUAUAGAGGAACCAUCAGACCCUUCUCUGGUUGGGUCAGCUGCCUCUUGGAAUCCCCAGUUUUAGUUUAUUUUCAAAGUCUCCUCUUUCAAGGUGCGUCCACCUCCCUAUAAUCCCUCAGUUCCCUAUCCAAGGGUGCCAACCCAUGGACCUUUAAGGCUUUUGUGUUAUUACAUGUGGGACAGACUGGGUGACUCAGAGCAGAGCUACCAGAGCUCCCAACCAAGGUCUUCGGUUUGUUUCCAUUCUUGGUUACUACCAAGACUACUAUCCACACACAAUCAUUAACUUACCAAGGACAGGAGCUAAAAGAUCCACCAGUUUGGGAAUCAGAUUUAGUCUUGGGAGAUACCCACUCUACAGUUACCAUCACACAGACAGUUGUAAAUAUCGAGUGUUUUAAGACUGCACUGCUUUUAAAUGACCACAGAGAAAACAGCUCCACAAAUAGAAAUCUAGCACUCUCAGAAACCUGUUGCAGUGUUCAGCCUUCUUUUCCCUCUCACCAUAGCUUUCAUAAAAUCUGUUUUAGCUAAGUCUGGUGUUCUGCAGUCUUAAAUACUCUCAGUUUUUUUUCUGGCUAAACCCAACAUGGACAAAGCUAACUAAACCAGAAACCUAGAGUGUGUUGGAUGGAAUGGGGAGCCAUUGAUCCCUUCUCAACAACUCAGGGUAAUAAUAUGCUCCUCCUAACAUGGUAAUAUGUUCCUGAUAGUUUGGGGGACUAAGAUGAAGGUGAAAAUAGGAAAGCAAGACAGUGAGUUGUGUAGAGAAAGUAGUAAAAAAAGACACAGCACGCUCUUCCCCACUAGGCUCACUUCUACCCUUCCCCUCGCAUCAGAACCUGGUUCUUUUCUAAGCUAAUGUAUCAAUAGUUGUCUUAGCCUCGUGACUGGCCAGAUGGAUAGCUGAGUCCAGCUCACCCAUUUCAUCCUGUGAAGUCUGUUUUACCUCCUUGACCUUUAAUGAUACCUGUUCUGUGGCCAGCAAUGAGUGGACUACAGAGUAGGAUGUUCAGAGCUAGUCUGGAGAUAGCAACUGGUGACUUAGUUUAGAUAUAAGCUAGGAGCCUUGGAAGUGGGUGAGAACAAAGAACAAUGAGGAGGGCAAGAAGAGAGGUGAGACCCUUGGGAGCCACUGAUAUUUAGGGGAGGAUGGGGAAAGAAGCCUGGGAAAGAUUCUGAUUACUAGGCAGAAGUAACCAAGGACAAGACCAGGCUGUCUUCGCACACACGGGUGAGAGAUGGGGAGUGGCUGGGAUGAAUGACCAGGAUUCAGAAAUGGAACUUCACUAGUGAUCCUGAGGCAGGAGGUGACAAGGAGGAGACAUGAGUGGGAAGUGAAGGAAUAGUGCUUGGGCUCCACUUCAACCAAAGCAAGGACCAAUUUUUACAUAUUAGACCUCUGAGUAAGAUUUCAUUCAAACAAAGGAAACUGCUACCUUAAAAAAAAAUCAUCAAGAGCAAAUACCCAAAAGCAAACAGUUUGAAAGCAUAAAGCAGAGUAAACUGAACAUAUUGUUACAUCUUUUUUCUAGAUUUGGGCUGAAGUGACCUAGAGGGGUAAACAAUGCCAAGUGAGAGCAAGACAUUUCAAGGUACUGAAUAGCCAUCUUAAAACCCAGUUUAAAAAUUCCAAGCUUUCAAAAUCACCUAGAAACCAAAACAUGGCAUUGUUCAGUCGCUAAAUCAUGUCCGACUUUUGCGACCCCAUGAGCUGCAGCACAUCAGGCUUCCCUGUCCUUCACUAUCUCCCUAAGUUUGCUCAAACUCAUGUCUAUUGAGUCAGGGAUGCUCAAAAUAUGGCAUAUGUACAACCAUAUAAGCUAUCUUGGCUGCCAGAGAAAUGUGGUUUCUAAUUUAUACAGUGGAAUUUUGGGGUCCUUUAAGCCUGUCCUGGUCUCCUGUCAAACUGGAACACCAGGGACUUUGAAUGG